rnacentral:rRNA from 1 species
UUCGGUAGGUGAACCUGCGGAGAUCAUUA